ACGGAAGGCAGCAGUGGGGAAUAUUGCACAAUGGGGGAAACCCUGAUGCAGCGACGCCGCGUGAAGGAAGAAGUAUUUCGGUAUGUAAACUUCUAUCAGCAGGGAAGAUAAUGACGGUACCUGACUAAGAAGCCCCGGCUAACUACGUGCCAGCAGCCGCGGUAAUACGUAGGGGGCAAGCGUUAUCCGGAUUUACUGGGUGUAAAGGGAGCGUAGACGGUACGGCAAGUCUGAUGUGAAAACCCGGGGCUCAACCUCGGGACUGCAUUGGAAACUGUCGAACUAGAGUGUCGGAGAGGUAAGCGGAAUUCCUAGUGUAGCGGUGGAAUGCGUAGAUAUUAGGAGGAACACCAGUGGCGAAGGCGGCUUACUGGACGAUUACUGACGUUGAGGCUCGAAAGCGUGGGGAGCAAACAGGAUUAGAUACCCUGGUA
rnacentral:rRNA from 1 species